rnacentral:rRNA from 1 species
AAAGAACCCCGGGAGGGGAGUGAAAUAGAACCUGAAACCCUGCACUUACAAGCUGUGGGAGCACAUUACUUGUGUGACCGCGUACUUUUUGUAGAACGGGCCAACGAGUUACGUUAAGUAGCAAGGUUAAGCACUUAAGGUGUGGAGCCGUAGCGAAAGCGAGUCUUAAAUGGGCGAUUAAGUUACUUGGCGUAGACCCGAAACCGGGCGACCUAUCCAUGAGCAGGUUGAAGCGAAAGUAAAAUUUCGUGGAGGACCGAACCCACGAGCGUUGAAAAGCUCGGGGAUGACUUGUGGAUAGCGGUGAAAUUCCAAUCGAGCCCGGAGAUAGCUGGUUCUCCCCGAAAUAGCUUUAGGGCUAGCCUCAAGCGUAGAGAAACGGAGGUAGAGCACUGAAUGUCCUAGGGGGUAUUGCACUUACCGAAGACUAUCAAACUCCGAAUGCCGUUUUCUUUUACUUGGGAGUCAGACUGUGGGUGAUAAGAUUCAUAGUCAAAAGGGCAACAGCCCAGAUCGUCAGCUAAGGUCCCUAAAUGUACGUUAAGUGGUAAAGGAUGUGGGAUUGCACAGACAACCAGGAUGUUGGCUUAGAAGCAGCCACUCAUUUAAAGAGUGCGUAAUAGCUCACUGGUCGAGUGAUCCUGCGCCGAAAAUUUCCGGGGCUAAAACGUACUACCGAAGCUACGGCAUCAUUUAUGAUGGGUAGGGGAGCUUCGUAUGCAGGCUGAAGCAUGACCGUAAGGACAUGUGGACAGUAUACGAGUGAGAAUGUUGGCAUGAGUAGCGAGACGUGGGUGAGAAUCCCACGGGCCGUAAACCCAAGGUUUCCAGGGGAAGGUUCGUCCGCCCUGGGUUAGUCGGGACCUAAGCCGAGGCCGAAAGGCGUAGGUGAUGGACAACAGGUUGAUAUUCCUGUACCGCCAAUAAGCGUUUGAGAGAUGGAGUGACACAGUAGGAUAAGCUAACCGUACUGUUGGUUAUGUACGGCUAAGCAUUGAGGCAGUCUAAAUAGGCAAAUCCGUUUAGACAAUGCUAGGAUGUGAUGGGGAAGCCCUUCGGGGCGAAGUAGCUGAUUUCACACUGUCAAGAAAAGCUUCUAUCGAGUUUAAAGGCGCCCGUACCGUAAACCGACACAGGUGGGUGAGGAGAGUAUCCUAAGGCCAGCGAGAGAACUAUUGUUAAGGAACUCGGCAAAAUGACCCCGUAACUUAGGGAGAAGGGGUGCCUGUCUAUGACAGGCCGCAGAGAAUAGGCCCAAGCGACUGUUUACCAAAAACACAGGUUUCUGCUAAGUCGCAAGACGAUGUAUAGGAGCUGACGCCUGCCCGGUGCUGGAAGGUUAAGGGGAUCUGUUAGAGCAAUCGAAGCAGUGAACUUAAGCCCCAGUAAACGGCGGCCGUAACUAUAACGGUCCUAAGGUAGCGAAAUUCCUUGUCGGGUAAGUUCCGACCCGCACGAAAGGCGUAACGAUUUGGGCACUGUCUCAACAAUAGACUCGGUGAAAUUGUAAUCCCGGUGAAGAUGCCGGGUACCUGCGACAGGACGGAAAGACCCCAUGGAGCUUUACUGUAGCUUGACGUUGGGUCUUGGUACUACAUGUACAGGAUAGGUGGGAGACUAUGAAGCAUGGACGCCAGUCUGUGUGGAGUCAUCCUUGGGAUACCACCCUUGUAGUACUGGGAUCCUAACCAUAGGCCUUG